rnacentral:rRNA from 1 species
CCUACGGGAGGCAGCAGCAGGGAAUCUUGGGCAAUGGGCGCGAGCCUGACCCAGCGACGUCGCGUGGGGGACGAAGGCCUUCGGGUUGUAAACCCCUUUUCCGAGGGAAGAUACAGGACGGUACCUCGGGAAUAAGCCCCGGCUAACUACGUGCCAGCAGCCGCGGUAAUACGUAGGGGGCAAGCGUUACCCGGAAUCACUGGGCGUAAAGUGCGCGUAGGCGGUUGGAUAAGUCUCUUGUGAAAGCUCCCGGCUCAACUGGGAGAGGUCAAGGGAUACUAUUCGACUAGAGGACAGCAGAGGUAAGCAGAAUUCCCGGUGUAGCGGUGGAAUGCGUAGAUGUCGGGAGGAACACCAGUGGCGAAAGCGGCUUACUGGGCUGUAACUGACGCUGAGGCGCGAGAGCGUGGGGAGCAAACUGGAUUAGAUACCCAGGUAGUCCACGCCCUAAACGAUGGAUACUAGGUAUGGGGGGUAUUGACCCCCUCCGUGCCGUAGCUAACGCGUUAAGUAUCCCGCCUGGGGACUACGGCCGCAAGGCUAAAACUCAAAGGAAUUGACGG